AUUGAACUCAAUUCUUCCAUCACCAACACCAGAGCCUAAAAAUGGGACAACUUGACUAGUAGAACCAUUCCUAUCUCCAUUUUCCCAUUGGAUCACAAUAGCACGAACCGACUUCAAUGACUGCGAGGGAGGCCAAGGUUUGAUCUCCUGAAUAUGAAUUAGAUAAUCUACUUGAACUGAGGGACCUUUCCUAGUUUUCGCCCUCAGUCCCGAAACCAUGAUUUCCGAUACACAAAUGUAAAAUGGAAUUCUAACAAAGCCUGCAAUGGUUAGGAGGAGAGUAGAACAUUGCAGUGGUUGCCGACACACAGCCUAGAGGAAGUGUGAGAAGAAUGUUUUAUUCCAAUUG
rnacentral:misc_RNA from 1 species